rnacentral:rRNA from 1 species
CUACGGGAGGCUGCAGUAAGGAAUAUUGCGCAAUGGAGGCAACUCUGACGCAGCCAUGCCGCGUGCAGGAAGAAGGCCUUAUGGGUCGUAAACUGCUUUUAUUUAGGAAUAAACCCCCGAACGUGUUCGGGGCUGAAGGUACUAAACGAAUAAGCACCGGCUAACUCCGUGCCAGCAGCCGCGGUAAUACGGAGGGUGCAAGCGUUAUCCGGAUUUAUUGGGUUUAAAGGGUGCGCAGGCGGGCGAUUAAGUCAGUGGUGAAAUCCCGGGGCUCAACUCCGGAACUGCCAUUGAUACUGAUAGUCUUGAGUUUGGUUGAAGUGGGCGGAAUGUAGCAUGUAGCGGUGAAAUGCAUAGAUAUGCUACAGAACACCAAUCGCGAAGGCAGCUCACUAAGCCAAAACUGACGCUCAUGCACGAAAGCGUGGGGAUCAAACGGGAUUAGAUACCCCCGUAGUC